AGUGAACGCUGGCGGUAGGCCUAACACAUGCAAGUCGAACGGCAGCACAGUAAGAGCUUGCUCUUACGGGUGGCGAGUGGCGGACGGGUGAGGAAUACAUCGGAAUCUACUUUUUCGUGGGGGAUAACGUAGGGAAACUUACGCUAAUACCGCAUACGACCUACGGGUGAAAGCAGGGGAUCUUCGGACCUUGCGCGAUUGAAUGAGCCGAUGUCGGAUUAGCGAGUUGGCGGGGUAAAGGCCCACCAAGGCGACGAUCCGUAGCUGGUCUGAGAGGAUGAUCAGCCACACUGGAACUGAGACACGGUCCAGACUCCUACGGGAGGCAGCAGUGGGGAAUAUUGGACAAUGGGCGCAAGCCUGAUCCAGCCAUACCGCGUGGGUGAAGAAGGCCUUCGGGUUGUAAAGCCCUUUUGUUGGGAAAGAAAAGCAGCAGGUUAAUACCCCGCUGUUCUGACGGUACCCAAAGAAUAAGCACCGGCUAACUUCGUG
rnacentral:rRNA from 1 species